AAACUUGAGAGUUUGAUCAUGGCUCAGAAUGAACGCUGGCGGCAUGCCUAACACAUGCAAGUCGAACGAAGCCUUCGGGCUUAGUGGCGCACGGGUGCGUAACGCGUGGGAAUCUGCCCUUGGGUUCGGAAUAACAGUUAGAAAUGACUGCUAAUACCGAAUGAUGUCGUAAGACCAAAGAUUUAUCGCCCAGGGAUGAGCCCGCGUAGGAUUAGCUAGUUGGUGUGGUAAAGGCGCACCAAGGCGACGAUCCUUAGCUGGUCUGAGAGGAUGAUCAGCCACACUGGGACUGAGACACGGCCCAGACUCCUACGGGAGGCAGCAGUGGGGAAUAUUGGACAAUGGGCGAAAGCCUGAUCC
rnacentral:rRNA from 1 species